GACGAACGCUGGCGGUGUGCUUAACACAUGCAAGUCGAACGGUAAGGCCCUUUCGGGGGUACACGAGUGGCGAACGGGGGAGUAACACGUGAGUAACCUGCCCUCAUCUCUGGGAUAACAGUCGGAAACGGUUGCUAAUACUGGAUAUGAGCUUGCAAGGCAUCUUGUGGGUUGGAAAGAUUUUUUUUGGUUGGGGAUGGACUCGCGGCCUAUCAGCUUGUUGGUGAGGUAGUGGCUCACCAAGGCUUCGACGGGUAGCCGGCCUGAGAGGGCGACCGGCCACAUUGGGACUGCGAUACGGCCCAAACUCCUACGGGAGGCAGCAGUGGGGAAUAUUGCACAAUGGACGGAAGUCUGAUGCAGCAACGCCGCGUGCGGGAUGACGGCCUUCGGGUUGUAAACCGCUUUCAAUUGUGACGAAGCUUUUUUGUGACGGUAGCAGUAGAAGAAGCACCGGCUAACUACGUG
rnacentral:rRNA from 1 species